rnacentral:rRNA from 1 species
AUUGAACGCUGGCGGCAGGCCUAACACAUGCAAGUCGAGCGGCAGCGGGAAAGUAGCUUGCUACUUUUGCCGGCGAGCGGCGGACGGGUGAGUAAUGCCUGGGAAAUUGCCCAGUCGAGGGGGAUAACAGUUGGAAACGACUGCUAAUACCGCAUACGCCCUACGGGGGAAAGCAGGGGACCUUCGGGCCUUGCGCGAUUGGAUAUGCCCAGGUGGGGUUAGCUAGUUGGUGAGGUAAUGGCUCACCAAGGCGACGAUCCCUAGCUGGUCUGAGAGGAUGAUCAGCCACACUGGAACUGAGACACGGUCCAGACUCCUACGGGAGGCAGCAGUGGGGAAUAUUGGACAAUGGGCGAAAGCCUGAUCCAGCCAUGCCGCGUGUGUGAAGAAGGUCUUCGGAUUGUAAAGCACUCUCAGUUGGGAGGAAGGGUAUUCACCUAAUACGUGGGUACUUUGACGUUACCAACAGAAUAAGCACCGGCUAACUCUGUGCCAGCCGCCGCCGUAAUAC